UAGAUACUUCAUGAAAUAUCCCGAAGAAAAAGUGUUGGAGUCAUUUACCGCCAGUUACCACUACAUUGAGUUGCCCCUCGGAAGCGAAACAAAAUAAAUUUCUCAAGCAACACUGCGCUCUAGGAAAAUAAACAUAGUCGGCAAUGGGUUAUAAUAUGAACAAAUUAAAAUAUCCCGUUUCAGCGAUAGAUUUUUAUUAUUCUGGAUGCCAAAAGGGCUAUUUUUCAAAAGCAUCAUCGUUAACCAUCUUUCGGAGUGAUCAGAGUCCGCGAAGAAAUCCGCCAUGCAAAACCCAUGCUAUCCAGCUUCUGUUACGGUAGAUUACCGACGAUUUGAUCGUAUCUUCUAUUCAGGAAGGCGAUAAACUGCCCUUAAUGUUAGGAACCGUUUGAGUGGUAACGGAAGUUACAUCAUAGGACCAAAUAUUUGUGCGAUUUAGGCCGAAGGCAACGACAGAAGUAUGCUUAUGUUGCGCUACUGUGAACUGUCCGACACGAAAUCGAUUAUGGUAAAAGAAAUUGGAACAUUGCAAUCCCAAACCAGUUUGUCUAUUACAUCAAGCGAUCCAGGUAGCACUUGACACGAAGAAUAAUCAGGCUUUGUCUAAGACAUGAAAUAAUCUUUAUUCAUAUUUUGGCUUGAUUCUAUGUAGACUACGAACAGCAUACCAUCGGCUACAUUAUAUUUGAUCAUACGGGAUUGGUGGUUUGUCGAAUAAACUUGGUUACUCGAUGCGCGUUGACUAAGUACAUCAUGUGGACAAGCUUCAAAUGUAAGGUGUCAUCGCCGGCCGUUUCGGUACAGUGAAAUUACUUCUGAAGGCCAGUACAAGUCCUUCAUCCGGAACUAUUUUGAUCGUAUGCUUUUUUGAGUACAACAAAGUAAAUAAAAGUGAUGCACGGUUGCGCAUUCAUGUUAUUUAUUUGAACAGUAAUGUUACAUGCAACCUCAGUAUGUAUCUUAGUAAAACUAAUAGUCGUUUUUCAUCUUCACAACCAGAUCUCGAUCAUAAUUAUGCGGCGAGAUUAAAAAUCUAUGCGAGACUCCCUGCUCAUCAUUUCCAGAAUGGUAAAUGGCGUUCUUUGAAGGAAAAGCCAGUAGGAUGAUUCCCUAUCACAAAAAUACAAAGAUCAAAUGACUUGUUAAGCCAUACCUUAUAUUGGAUGCGAUACCAUUUUUCAGACCUCUCUAAGGGCCGAUUUAUUCACCCU